CCGUUAACCCGCGGUGGUAGAGCCACCGGAUCGACGAGGGGGCUUCACCGCCUACCGACUCGAACCGAACUCCGAAUGCCGCGGGUCGAGAGGCCGGGAGUCAGAGGGCGUGGGCUAAGCUGCGCGCUCGAGAGGGAAACAGCCCAGACCGCCCGCUAAGGUCCCCAAGUCAUCGCUGAGUGGCAAAGGAUGUGCGUCUGCCCAGACAACCAGGAUGUUGGCUUAGAAGCAGCCAUGCAUUUAAAGAGUGCGUAACAGCUCACUGGUCGAGUGGACAUGCGCCGACAAUUCACGGGGCUAAGCGAUGCACCGAAGCGGCGGACUGAGAAUUCAGUGGUAGGGGAGCUCUCCGCGGGGGGCGAAGCAGCAGGGCGACCUGCUGUGGACCGCGCGGAGGUGAGAAUGCUGGCAUGAGUAACGAGACCAGGGCGAGAAACCCUGGCGCCGUGAGCCUAAGGGUUCCUGGGCGAGGCUAAUCCCCCCAGGGUCAGUCGGGAGCUAAGGCGAGGCCGAGAGGCGUAGCCGAUGCGCAGCGGGCAGACAUUCCCGCACCGCCGACGGCGCGGCAUUACCGAUGGGGCGACGGAGAAGGGUAGCCGGGCGGGGUUCUGGACGUCCCCGUGAAAGCGCGUAGGGCGCGCAGCGUGGAAACCAGCUGCGCACGAGGCCUGAGACGCGAGACGAAGCGACCGAGCGAAGCCGGUGAGCCCAUGCUUCCGAGAAAAACCUCUAGGGAGUGCCGUCGGCGCCCGUACCAAAACCGACACAGGUGGGCGGGUAGAACAUACCGAGGCGAUCGGGAGAACCACGGUUAAGGAACUCGGCAUACUGGCCCCGUAACUUCGGGAGAAGGGGCGCCGCCGCCGGUGAUAGCCCUCGCGGCAGGAGCUGGCGGCGGCCGCAGCGAAACGGCCCAAGCGACUGUUUAUCAAAAACACAGGACUCUGCAAAGCGGUAACGCGACGUAUAGGGUCUGACGCCUGCCCGGUGCCGGAAGGUUACGCGGAUGCGUCAGCCGAAAGGCGAAGCGCUGAAGCCAAGCCCCGGUAAACGGCGGCCGUAACUAUAACGGUCCUAAGGUAGCGAAAUUCCUUGUCGGGUAAGUUCCGACCUGCACGAAUGGCGUAACGAUUUGGGCGCUGUCUCAACCGUGGACCCGGUGAAAUUGUACUGUUCGUGAAGAUGCGAACUACCCGCGGAAGGACGGAAAGACCCCGUGAACCUUUACUGCAGCUUGGCAUUGGCAUCUGGUACGGCGCGUAGAGGAUAGGCGGGAGCCUUUGAAGCGGGGGCGCAAGCCCCCGUGGAGGCGACCUUGGAAUACCGCCCUCGUCGUGCCGGCUGCCUAACGCGCGGCCGUGAUCCGGCGCGCGGACCGUGCCAGGCGGGUAGUUUGACUGGGGCGGUCGCCUCCCAAAACGUAACGGAGGCGCGCGAAAGGUCCGCUCAGGACGGUCGGCAACCGUCCCGAGAGCGCAAGAGUGCAAGCGGGCUUGACUGCGAGAGAGACACCUCGAGCAGGGACGAAAGUCGGUUCUAGUGAUCCGGCGGCACAGAGUGGAAUGGCCGUCGCUCAACGGAUAAAAGGUACUCCGGGGAU
rnacentral:rRNA from 1 species